CCUGAGUACGACGGAGCACGUGAAAUUCCGUCGGAAUCUGGGAGGACCAUCUCCUAAGGCUAAAUACUCUCUAGUGACCGAUAGUGAACCAGUACCGUGAGGGAAAGGUGAAAAGUACCCCGGAAGGGGAGUGAAAGAGAACUUGAAACCGUGUGCUUACAAGUAGUCAGAGCCCGUUAAUGGGUGAUGGCGUGCCUUUUGUAGAAUGAACCGGCGAGUUACGAUCUGAUGCAAGGUUAAGCAGAAAAUGUGGAGCCGUAGCGAAAGCGAGUCUGAAUAGGGCGAAUGAGUAUUUGGUCGUAGACCCGAAACCAGGUGAUCUACCCUUGGUCAGGUUGAAGUUCAGGUAACACUGAAUGGAGGACCGAACCGACUUACGUUGAAAAGUGAGCGGAUGAACUGAGGGUAGCGGAGAAAUUCCAAUCGAACUUGGAGAUAGCUGGUUCUCUCCGAAAUAGCUUUAGGGCUAGCCUCAAGUGAUGAUUAUUGGAGGUAGAGCACUGUUUGGACGAGGGGCCCCUCUCGGGUUACCGAAUUCAGACAAACUCCGAAUGCCAAAUAAUUUAACUUGGGAGUCAGAAUGUGGGUGAUAAGGUCCAUAUUCGAAAGGGAAACAGCCCAGACCACCAGCUAAGGUCCCAAAAUAUAUGUUAAGUGGAAAAGGAUGUGGCGUUGCCCAGACAACUAGGAUGUUGGCUUAGAAGCAGCCAUCAUUUAAAGAGUGCGUAAUAGCUCACUAGUCGAGUGACACUGCGCCGAAAAUGUACCGGGGCUAAACAUAUUACCGAAGCUGUGGAUUGUCCUUUGGACAAUGGUAGGAGAGCGUUCUAAGGGCGUUGAAGCAUGAUCGCAAGGACAUGUGGAGCGCUUAGAAGUGAGAAUGCCGGUGUGAGUAGCGAAAGACGGGUGAGAAUCCCGUCCACCGAUUGACUAAGGUUUCCAGAGGAAGGCUCGUCCGCUCUGGGUUAGUCGGGUCCUAAGCUGAGGCCGACAGGCGUAGGCGAUGGAUAACAGGUUGAUAUUCCUGUACCACCAUUAUUCGUUUUAAGCGAUGGGGGGACGCAGUAGGAUAGGCGAAGCGUGCUGUUGGAGUGCACGUCCAAGCAGUGAGAUUGAGUGUUAGGCAAAUCCGGCACUCUUAAGAUUGAGCUGUGAUGGGGAGAGGAACUUGUUCCUCGAGUCGUUGAUUUCACACUGCCGAGAAAAGCCUCUAGCUAGAAUAACGGUGCCCGUACCGCAAACCGACACAGGUAGUCAAGAUGAGAAUUCUAAGGUGAGCGAGCGAACUCUCGUUAAGGAACUCGGCAAAAUGACCCCGUAACUUCGGGAGAAGGGGUGCUCUUUGAGGUUCACGCUUCGAAGAGCCGCAGUGAAUAGGCCCAAGCGACUGUUUAUCAAAAACACAGGUCUCUGCUAAACCGUAAGGUGACGUAUAGGGGCUGACGCCUGCCCGGUGCUGGAAGGUUAAGAGGAGUGGUUAGCGCAAGCGAAGCUACGAAUCGAAGCCCCAGUAAACGGCGGCCGUAACUAUAACGGUCCUAAGGUAGCGAAAUUCCUUGUCGGGUAAGUUCCGACCCGCACGAAAGGCGUAACGAUUUGGGCACUGUCUCAACGAGAGACUCGGUGAAAUCAUAGUACCGGUGAAGAUGCCGGUUACCCGCGACAGGACGGAAAGACCCCGUGGAGCUUUACUGUAGCCUGAUAUUGAAAUUCGGUACAG
rnacentral:rRNA from 1 species